AUUGAACGCUGGCGGCAUGCCUUACACAUGUAAGUCGAGCGCUAAAGGGGGGCAACUCCUGAGUAGAGUGGCGCACGGGUGAGUAAUGCAUCGGAACGUGUCCUGUAGCGGGGGAUAACCUAGCGAAAGCUAGGCUAAUACCGCAUACGUCCUACGGGAGAAAGUGGGGGAUCGUAGACCUCACACUAUAGGAGCGGCCGAUGCCGGAUUAGCUAGUUGGUGGGGUAAAAGCCUACCAAGGCGACGAUCCGUAGCUGGUCUGAGAGGAUGAUCAGCCACACUGGGACUGAGACCCGGCCCAGACUCCUACGGGAGGCAGCAGUGGGGAAUUUUGGACAAUGGGGGAAACCCUGAUCCUGCCAUGCCGCGUGAGUGAAGAAGGCCUUCGGGUUGUAAAGCUCUUUCGGCCGGGACGAAAUCGCACGCGUGAAUAUCGCGUGUGGAUGACGGUACCGGAAGAAGAAGGACCGGCUAACUACGUGCCAGCAGCCGCCGUAA
rnacentral:rRNA from 1 species